AUUGAACGCUGGCGGCAUGCCUUACACAUGCAAGUCGAACGGUAGAGGGGCAACCCUCGAGAGUGGCGAACGGGUGAGUAAUGCAUCGGAACGUGCCCAGUAGUGGGGGAUAGCCCGGCGAAAGCCGGAUUAAUACCGCAUACGACCUACGGGGGCAAGGGGGGGAUCGCAAGACCUCUCGCUAUUGGAGCGGCGAAUGUCAGAUUAGGUAGUGGGGGGGUAAAGGCCUACAAAGCCGACGAUCUGUAGCUGGUCUGAGAGGACGACCAGCCACACUGGGACUGAGACACGGCCCAGACUCCUACGGGAGGCAGCAGUGGGGAAUUUUGGACAAUGGGCGAAAGCCUGAUCCAGCCAUGCCGCGUGCGGGAAGAAGGCCUUCGGGUUGUAAACCGCUUUUGUCAGGGAAGAAAUCCUUUGGGCUAAUACCCUGGGGGGAUGACGGUACCUGAAGAAUAAGCACCGGCUAACUACGUGCCAGCAGCCGCAGUAAUAC
rnacentral:rRNA from 1 species